AUUCAACUACAAGAAACCCUUA
rnacentral:tRNA from 1 species